UACGUAGGGGGCAAGCGUUGUCCGGAAUUAUUGGGCGUAAAGAGCUCGUAGGCGGUUUGUCACGUCGGAUGUGAAAACCCGAGGCUUAACCUCGGGCCUGCAUUCGAUACGGGCUGACUAGAGUUCGGUAGGGGAGACUGGAAUUCCUGGUGUAGCGGUGAAAUGCGCAGAUAUCAGGAGGAGCACCGGUGGCGAAGGCGGGUCUCUGGGCCGAUACUGACGCUGAGGAGCGAAAGCGUGGGGAGCGAACAGG
rnacentral:rRNA from 1 species